rnacentral:pre_miRNA from 1 species
CCAAGGGAAUGAGUGAAGCUGCCAGCAUGAUCUAGCUCUGGGUGAUCACCGAGAGGAACAGAAGUUCGAGCUCUUGUGGUCAUGCCUUGCUAGGUCAUGCUGCGGCAGCCUCACUUCUUCCCAUC